AGUCCCCUCCCCACCCUAUCCUGGAGCUUGUCAAGGCCACCAGAGACCUGCUCCCUGUGCCGUCUCAGACUGGACUCUGGGGUCUCCGGUGCCUCCUCUGAUUCUGCACCUCGGUGCAGCCUCUGGCCUGGCUGCGCUCUGAGGAGCUCCCUGUGGCCACCGAGCCCUUGGAACGUGGCCAGUUCCAUUCUCAAACUGCUGUGAGUGCAAAGCUCAUGCUGGAUUUUGAAGAUUUGGUGAGAAAAAAAAUUUCUUUGUAAAAUGUCAGUAUUUCAUCAAUAGUAUAUUUUGUUGAUGAUAUGUUGAGAAACUAUUUUGGAUAUGUUUGUUUAAGUAGAUUGCUGGCCAGGCAUGGUGGCUCACUCCUGUAAUCCCAGCACUGGGAGGCCAAGGCAAGAGGAUCGCUUGAGGCCGGGUGGUUGAGGCUGCCGUGAGCUGUAAUGGUGCCACUGCCCUCCAGCAUGGAUGACAGAG
rnacentral:lncRNA from 10 species